rnacentral:tRNA from 1 species
GGGCCAUUCUUACAAUGGUAGUAUAUCUGAUUUGCAGUCAGAAAAUGGUGGUUCGAUUCCAUCAUGGUCCA